GCUUAGUGGCGAACGGGUGAGUAACACGUGAAGAACCUGCCCUUCAGUGGGGGACAACAGUUGGAAACGACUGCUAAUACCGCAUAAGCGCACAGUACCGCAUGGUACGGUGUGAAAAAACUCCGGUGGUAUGAGAUGGACCCGCGUCUGAUUAGGUAGUUGGUGGGGUAACGGCCUACCAAGCCGACGAUCAGUAGCCGACCUGAGAGGGUGACCGGCCACAUUGGGACUGAGACACGGCCCAAACUCCUACGGGAGGCAGCAUG
rnacentral:rRNA from 1 species